UAAGUGCUUUAGUUCCAUUAUACAUCUAAGUAGUUAUUUGCAUCCUAACUACUUAGCUAUAAGCAUAAGAGCAUCACAUAUUUUUCUUUUGUGUGUUUACUUCUGAACUUUUAGAGAACAAUAUCAUUUUUUAGGAUUCAUUGCAGAGUCUUAAAAGAUAACCUUGCUUGUCUUAAUUCAAGAGAUCCAAUUCUAACACUCAACUUAACGGAAGAAA
rnacentral:lncRNA from 1 species